UGGGGGAGGAAAGUCCUCGAAUGGAGG
rnacentral:sRNA from 1 species